rnacentral:rRNA from 1 species
UACGUAGGGUGCGAGCGUUGUCCGGAUUUAUUGGGCGUAAAGAGCUCGUAGGCGGUGUGUCACGUCGGCCGUGAAAACCUGCAGCUUAACUGUGGGCGUGCGGUCGAUACGGGCAUCACUGGAGUUCGGCAGGGGAGACUGGAAUUCCUGGUGUAGCGGUGAAAUGCGCAGAUAUCAGGAGGAACACCGGUGGCGAAGGCGGGUCUCUGGGCCGAUACUGACGCUGAGGAGCGAAAGCGUGGGGAGCGAACAGG